rnacentral:rRNA from 1 species
UACGUAGGGACCAAGCGUUGUCCGGAAUCAUUGGGCGUAAAGAGCGUGUAGGCGGCUUGUUAAGUCUUGCGUGAAAUCUCGGGGCUCAACCCCGAGCGGUCGUGAGAAACUGGCAGGCUAGAGUGCGGGAGAGGAGAGUGGAAUUCCUGGUGUAGCGGUGAAAUGCGCAGAUAUCAGGAGGAACACCUGUGGUGUAGACAGCUUACUGGACCAUUUCUGACGCUGAGACACGAAAGCGUGGGUAGCAAACAGG